CCUACGUGCGGCAGCAGUGGGGAAUAUUGCGCAAUGGGCGAAAGCCUGACGCAGCGACGCCGCGUGAGGGAUGAAGGUCUUCGGAUCGUAAACCUCUGUCAGCAGGGAAGAACGGUCACUGUGCUAAUCAGCAGUGAAUUGACGGUACCUGCAAAGGAAGCACCGGCUAACUCCGUGCCAGCAGCCGCGGUAAUACGGAGGGUGCGAGCGUUAAUCGGAAUUACUGGGCGUAAAGCGCUCGUAGGCGGUAUGUUAAGUCAAGGGUGAAAUCCCCGGGCUCAACGUGGGAACUGCCUUUGAAACUGGGAGAAGUGAGUGUGUUAGAGGAUAGUGGAAUUCCAGGUGUAGGAGUGAAAUCCGUAGAUAUCUGGAGGAACAUCAGUGGCGAAGGCGACUAUCUGGCACAUAACUGACGCUGAGGAGCGAAAGCGUGGGUAGCAAACAGGAUUAGAUACCCCAGUAGUC
rnacentral:rRNA from 1 species